UCUCCGUUGGUGAACCAGCGGAGGGAUCAUUACAGGACUCGCAAGACUCCUACAACCCUGUGAACUUAACUAUAAGCACGUUGCUUCGGCGGGUGUCUCGGAGGGGGUUCUCCCUCCCCGAGACGCUAAACCCGCCGGCAGCCUACUAUACUCUGUCUCUUUGCGUUUGCAUCUCGAGUACAAUCAAACAAGUUAAAACUUUCAACAACGGAUCUCUUGGUUCUG
rnacentral:misc_RNA from 1 species